rnacentral:antisense_RNA from 1 species
CCAGCCGGACAGUGAAACGCACAAUGUCAGGAGUAACGCGGCUUCACAACCGGAAAAUGGGUGAUUUUAUGGCAAAGAGUUUAUAAAAACAUCCCUUGGACUUUAUUUUAUGACAAAAGAUAGGAAAACACCUCUUAAUCUAUUUCAAAAUAGUAAUUAGCCAAUGUUUAAAUUUCAAGAGGAAAAAUCCGAAUUACAGGAUUUUAAAGAAUAUGGUUUUAGGCCAGGCGCGCCUGGUGGCUCAGGCCUAUAAUCCCAGCACUUUGGGAGGCCGAGGCGGGAGGAUCGCUUGAGCCCAGUUCAGACCAACCUGGGCAACAGAGUGAGACCCCGUCUCUUAAAAAAAAAAAAAAAAAAAAAAAGGUAAAAAAAAAAAGGUUGUAGUGUUCAUAUGUAUAUAUAUAUAUAUUAUUCAAUAUAUUACGGUAACUAAGUCCUGCCUAGUAAAAUCUUUUUUUUGUAAUAAAAUUAGCAACUCACUAAAUUUAUGUGAAUAUAUGGUUUUAAAAACUCUCAAUGAAGAUUAAAAGUUCACUGUCAGAGGUUUCAGCAGUCCUUUCCCAAGCUUAUUUACAUGCUAAUUUUGCUUAGUAAACUCUGGCUUCAAAGAACACAAAGGUCAGCUGCCACCAGGUCCCUCCUCCGAGGCUUUGGCCCUAGGGACCCUGGGAAGGCGGCUUCAGUGCCCGCUUCACUGAGUAAAGGCUCGUCUGGACUCUGACGCGGGUGGGUCUCCACACCACCCGGCUGUGCGUGGGGCAAGUCCUGCACCCCGGGCCUGCGUUUCCCGCUGCGUGAACGGAUGGUCUUGCGAAUCUAGCCAAGGGCACACAGCGAGCCUCUACUCGGGCAUUAGGCAGGCUGUAACGACUGAGUGCUGCACGGGCAGCGUCCUUUUGCUUGUGUUUUCUUAACCCGUAAGUCAUUUAAAGCUUUGUUUUGAACGACCCCCUAGUGAAAUUGGAACAUGCCCAUUUAAUGCCAUAUUUUAAAAACGCUGUAACCCCCUCCCAUCACCGCGUUCACCCUUGAGGAAAUCCUAACAGUCACCAUGGAUAUAAACAUUAAUAACAAAAUUAAAGCACAUAACAAGC